GAAAAGCGCAAUAUUCGGGUGGGAGUGACCCGAUUUUCCAGUGAGGGAACAGCAAGAAGACAGCCAUCUGCAAAGAAGAGGGCUGUCACCAGACACUAGCUCUGCUGGCAUCUUGGACUUCCCAGCCUCCAGAAUGAUCAAAGGGAACCACCAGCCUUAGCCUCUCCUGACAUUUGCAUGUCUUAAGCAUUGUUCUUUUCAUACAAGAAGACUCGGCAUCAGAUAUCCAUUUCCUCAGGCUAUUUUAGCCGGGUGAAGGCUCAUAAUUACUGUGGAGGAAGCUGGGAAGAUGGCAACUCACCUAAUCCCUGAUUACAUUAAACGAUGCCACCC
rnacentral:lncRNA from 10 species